rnacentral:lncRNA from 1 species
UUCAUACGUUUAAUACGUUUUGGUUAUUGUGUAAGGAAUGUUAACCAUAAUCUAUUUUAUUUUGCUUAUGCACUUAGAGAUUUUAUAUACCUUUCUUUUAAAUUUUCGGGGAUUUUUACACAAAUCUAGGUGAGCAGAGACAGUGUUCUCUAUAAGGUUGAAAGUGGUGUUAUUUAGAAGUCGGAAUGGGAUUGACAAUGGAACAAACAAACUCUGGGAGCCGAUCUAGGUGAGUAGAGACAGUGUUCUCUGUGAUGCACGUGUAGGAAAGUAUGAGUUUCACAAACUUUAAUUAGAUGGUUUCUUGAUUUUAGAUAGAUGUAAUGGUUAACCCUCACUAGCGAGGGAUGUGAACACUGCGCUUGGAUGUACUUAAUUUUAUUUAGAAAUAGAAGUUUGUUGUAUUUUUUGCUGGCAAUAUAAGUUCUUAC